GACCUCGGAUCAGGUAGGGAUACCCGCUGAACUUAAGCAUAUCAAUAAGCGGAGGAAAAGAAACCAACAGGGAUUGCCUCAGUAACGGCGAGUGAAGCGGCAACAGCUCAAAUUUGAAAUCUGGCCUUCGGGUCCGAGUUGUAAUUUGCAGAGGAUGCUUCGAGCAUGGUCUAGUCUAAGUUCCUUGGAAUAGGACGUCAUAGAGGGUGAGAAUCCCGUAUGCGACUGGGUGCCUAAGCUCAUGUGAAGCUCCUUCGACGAGUCGAGUUGUUUGGGAAUGCAGCUCAAAAUGGGUGGUAAAUUUCAUCUAAAGCUAAAUAUUGGCCAGAGACCGAUAGCGCACAAGUAGAGUGAUCGAAAGAUGAAAAGCACUUUGGAAAGAGUGUUAAAUAGCACGUGAAAUUGUUGAAAGGGAAGCGC
rnacentral:rRNA from 1 species